CCUACGGGGGGCUGCAGUGAGGAAUAUUGGUCAAUGGUCGGGAGACUGAACCAGCCAAGCCGCGUGAGGGAUGAAGGUACAGAGUAUCGUAAACCUCUUUUGUCAGGGAACAAAGGCGGGGACGCGUCCCGGAUGAGUGUACCUGAAGAAACAGCAUCGGCUAACUCCGUGCCAGCAGCCGCGGUAAUCCGGAGGAUGCGAGCGUUAUCCGGAUUUAUUGGGUUUAAAGGGUGCGCGGGCGGUCUGUUCAGUCAGCGGUCAAAGCCCGGGGAUCCACCCCGGCCCGCCGUUGAAACUGGCAGUCUCGAGUGGGAGGGAAGUAUGCGGAAUGCGCGGUGUAGCGGUGAAAUGCAUAGAUAUCGCGCAGAACUCCGAUUGCGAAGGCAGCAUGCCGGCUCCAAACUGACGCUGAGGCACGAAAGCGUGGGUAUCGAACAGGAUUAGAUACCCCAGUAGUC
rnacentral:rRNA from 1 species